GUGAAGGGAACAUUGUGUACUGUUGGCAUUGCCUGCCAUCUGACAGAGUGAAAGUUUUACUCUGUAAUAAUGUUCAAACUUCGGUUCGGACGGGCUUGCAAAGCAGCAUACUUUACCAAUUCUUUGUUUACUAUGAAGGGAAAGAGUUUAUGACAGUGUGGCAUGUGUGUUUCCUCUUUGGUUUUAGGCAACCCUGAUAACAUGAGGAUUUUUAUUAGCUUAGUUGAUACCACAGACCUGUCCAGCUGCUUAUUUUUAUUAUUAUUUUUUUUCAUGGUUUAAUCCAUGUCUUCAGAAUUGAUAUGAUAGGUGUGGGUGAGAAGCAGAUCAAUAUUUAAGUCCUUUUUUACUAUAAAUCCCCACUUUCAAACAGCCCCCCUAAGAGUUUUUCUUUUGUUUUUGGCAGUUCACAUUCUUCAUGCUUAUCGCCACCAGCUGGGCAGGGGGGAGAAUUUGUAGUAAAAAUGGACUUAAAUAUUGAUGUUUCUCACCCACACUUAUCAUGUCACUUCUGAAGAUAUGGAUUAAACCACUGGAGCCUUAUGGAUUACUUUUAUGAUGCCUUUAUGUGAAUUUUGGAGCUUGAAAUGUCUACUCACCAUUCACUUGCAUUGUAUGGACCUACAGAGCUGAAAUAUUCUUCUAAAAAUCUUAAUUUGUGUUCAGCAGAAGAAAGAAAGUCAUACACAUCUGGGAUGGCAUGAGGUAUUCUUGGUGAAGAACUACACUACCCAUGAUCCUCCACAAAGAUCCACCAAUCAGAGAAGAUUCGGUCAACAAAAGACACCAAAAGAGCUCUGCAGCGACCGCCCACUCCCAUGAUGCACUGUGAAAGAUGCAAUCAUGUAUGCCAUCUGACAAACCAGGAGUAACCUGUAGAACAAGCAUAACCAAAACCAGCUGUACCACUUUUUAUGACAGACUUCAGUUCAUCUGCAAUAGAUUUACUGUAAUUUCACAAUAACUGUAUUGAGAAGUGUGAUGCUUCAUUUAAAACAUUUUACAAAAAAAUAAAAAAUAAUAAUAAUUAUAACACGAGCUUUAAGAUUUGCUUCAACUGUUACAAUGCUAACAGUCAAGAAUACAGCAAAUACUGUUUUUAUAGAAAAUUUUAUAAAAUUUUUGCUCAGCCAAGAAGUCAAGCUGCUCCUUGACAUUU